UAAGCGGAGGAAAAGAAACCAACAGGGAUUGCCCUAGUAACGGCGAGUGAAGCGGCAUCAGCUCAAAUUUGAAAUCUGGCUCUUUCAGGGUCCGAGUUGUAAUUUGCAGAGGGCGCUUUGGCGUUGGCAGCGGUCUAAGUUCCUUGGAACAGGACGUCACAGAGGGUGAGAAUCCCGUACGUGGUCGCUAACCUUCGCCGUGUAAAGCCCCUUCGACGAGUCGAGUUGUUUGGGAAUGCAGCUCUAAAUGGGAGGUAAAUUUCUUCUAAAGCUAAAUACUGGCCAGAGACCGAUAGCGCACAAGUAGAGUGAUCGAAAGAUGAAAAGCACUUUGGAAAGAGAGUCAAAUAGCACGUGAAAUUGUUGAAAGGGAAGCGCUUGCAGCCAGACUUGCCUGUAGUUGCUCAUCCGGGCUUUUGCCCGGUGCACUCUUCUGCGGGCAGGCCAGCAUCAGUCUAGGCGGUUGGAUAAAGGCCUCUGUCACGUACCUCCUUUCGGGGAGGCCUUAUAGGGGAGGCGACAUGCAACCAGCCUGGACUGAGGUCCGCGCAUCUGCUAGGAUGCUGGCGUAAUGGCUGUAAGCGGCCCGUCUUGAAACACGGACCAAGGAGUCUAACAUCUAUGCGAGUGUUUGGGUGUCAAGCCCGAACGCGUAAUGAAAGUGAACGGAGGUGGGAUCCCUUUUAGGGUGCACCAUCGACCGAUCCUGAUGUCUUCGGAUGGAUUUGAGUAAGAGCAUGGCUGUUGGGACCCGAAAGAUGGUGAACUAUGCUUGAAUAGGGUGAAGCCAGAGGAAACUCUGGUGGAGGCUCGCAGCGGUUCUGACGUGCAAAUCGAUCGUCAAAUUUGGGCAUAGGGGCGAAAGACUAAUCGAACA
rnacentral:rRNA from 1 species